UCUUCCAGGGCAGAUGGAGCCUUGACCUGCCUGUGAGAGGAAAGCCCACCUGUGUGGCCAUGGCUGCGACUCAUGAGUAUGCUGACUGGAAGGAGGACGAGUGGCUAAAGCACAGCUACUGUCACACAGCUGCUGGAUCCAGCCGGCUUGCCUGCAGCCCCUUCUGAGCACAGAGGGCAAGACUGCUUUGUCUGCAGCCUCUUCUGCAGAUGUUGCCUCAGUAAAAGCUGGAUCAUUUGUGAAGAGUCUUAGAGACUCCGUCUCAGCUUCCUGCCCUGCUGGAGAUGGUUUAAACCCAAAUCUCUCACCUCUCCCCCAUAUAAGAGGCCCAACCACUACGAUGCUGGUACAGGAGCUGGAGUGGGGCGUGAGGGGGCAGAGAGCAUCUGUUGUCUUUUUGACUGAAGCUGUUCCACUGCGCAGAAAAACCUUCAAAAUUCAAUAGAUCAAAGAGGGACCAAGAGGAAAUAAGAGUGUAUCAUCUAGCAGUUUGUACAGCCACCUGGCAGAAGGAAAUCUGCAUACCACCCGCUCUCCUACACAUAUCUGCAUGCUUUUAUAUGGAAAGAUCAUUGGAUAACAUAAAAAAAAAAUCUGACCCUACAUUCGUUUUCACUUUUUUUUUAAUUGGAUUGUGCAUAAGUGCUCUGUGUGGGAGGAACCCUUAUCAGAAAUAUGAAGCUUUUCUUGCUGAAUGGAAAGAUGAAAACAUGCUCAGUAAGCUGCUGUAUCUGUCUCAUGAGCUAAGCUCCGAGCUGACCUGAUGAUCCCACAAAACAAAGAGCUGCCUAUAAAAUAUGUCUUAAUUGCAGAGAAAGUAUGAAAUCAAAACCAGUUGUUGCUGGUGGUGACAGCUUCCAUGGAUUCCUGCUACUAUCUACAGAGAAAAAAAGUGCAGGCAGCCUGAGAGACUACCUGGUAGUCUAUGCACAGCACAGACCUCUCACAAAAACCUCAGAAGGAUAAAAAUUCAUAAUAUCCCUUCUCCCCAUCUCUGUCUUGUUCUGUGCCCAGCUGAGGCCUGACUGCACAGACAUCCUGUCUUAUACAGCUGAGAAAUUCAGGUCUCAGUGCCUUGCUGGUUUUGUGCAAAGAUUUUAUUCAGGCUUUGCUCAGUUUUUUGAAUUUGAGCCUUCUGUGCUUUACUGAUGUGCAUUUACGGCUGGACAAUUCCCAAUAUUGAGAAGCAGUAUGCAGAGCUUUUCACGAGGUUAGAAAAUGAAUCCGAAACUUAACAAACCAUUGUUUAUCUCAUUAUAUGCAUCUUCAGAGAGCCAAGAGCAACCUACACAGUGCCACUGUUCUGUGGAUUAAUUCACGGCUGAUGAAAACAGAUUGUUCUUACAACCAAAAGCUCUAUUGUUCGAAUGUCCCUUCGUGAAUUUUGCUGCCCUGUAUUACCCAUUGCCUGUAGGAGUCACAAGACCUUCGAGGAUGCGGCUGCCAAUGUAGCCUCAGUGAGCACGGUACCCUUUAUGCCUGGGUAACAAAUUUACUUAAAGGACCAUUCACUCAUUGGCUGGCAUGUUUUUUUUCCAUUUUGUCAGAUGGAUGAAUGUCAUGGCAGCCAAGGACAGAUGAAGGUUUGAAAUAUUACAAGCAAAAGCCUCUCGCUAAGAUAAUAUAAAACCAGUUCUUGCAAACAUAUCUCUGAGGAGGAAAUAGGCUAGAGAUUAUCACGAGAAUUUUUUCUAGCUGUAAAAUUUUGUUAAGAUGCGAGCAAAAAAACCAAACCACCCAGUAAACCUAUCAAACUUAACUCAGCACUAAAACUUCAGUCUUUCUUAAGACAAUACUAUUUGAAAUUGCCACAUCAUUCAAUUUUAAGUGAUUUGCAUACCAAAUGCAAAAAAAUGAUUAACUGGAAACUUCCCCCUCCACCCCCUCUGAGACAUAUGGUGAGACAGCAACAGAAAUGAUGGAUGUGGUGGAUGAUUGCUUGCUGAACCAGUGUGUGAGAAACUAUGCUAGGAAUAAUUCAUGUCAAGAUACGGUCUUAACUAAAAGACAUAUUAAAACCAACAUCUUGACAGGUUUAAUAUCUUACAUGAUACACAUAAUCCAUGACUUCUAAGGCAUGUGAUUAUCUCAAAACAUGAUAUUUCAGUAGAACUUCAAUUUUAUGGAAAGAUCUCAAGA